rnacentral:rRNA from 1 species
UACGAAGGGGGCUAGCGUUGUUCGGAAUUACUGGGCGUAAAGCGUGCGCAGGCGGCCAUGCAAGACAGAUGUGAAAUCCCCGGGCUCAACCUGGGAACUGCAUUUGUGACUGCAUGGCUAGAGUACGGUAGAGGGGGAUGGAAUUCCGCGUGUAGCAGUGAAAUGCGUAGAUAUGCGGAGGAACACCGAUGGCGAAGGCAAUCCCCUGGACCUGUACUGACGCUCAUGCACGAAAGCGUGGGGAGCAAACAGG